ensembl:lncRNA
GCAAUAAAAGUUGAUUUGCACUAACAAGCUAAAAGCUCUGAGUGCUACCAGACUAUGAUGCCUUCCAGGAGGGAGAGCAGCUAUUAGAUCCUAUGAUGGUAGAACGUAUUUUCACAAUAGACAUCAAAAAGAUUUAGAAUCCAAAGCUGGGAUCCAAUCUAUUGUUCAGAAGUCAGCCAGUGUGGAAGAAAAGAUUCAACUGCCUUUGAUUUCAGCAGAGUCCGGGCGUACUACAGCUGCUGUAAUUUCAACCCUUCCUACUCUCUUCCAUACUCAGCAGGAAUUCUGAUUAUGGAAGAAGACUGUGCCCAUGAAGCUGAUGAGCUGCUGAUACAUUGAGGACAGAAGAUUUUGACAAAAUCCCAAGCCACUGCAAGUCACAUACUCCUUGGCACAACUGGGACUCAUCAGGGGGCAAGGCCACGAGGCUCCUCUGUCCACGGGGAUUCUUCGGGCAAGAGUAUUGGAGUGGAUUGCCAUAUCCUCCAGGGGACCUUCCCGACCUAGGGAUCGAAACUGCGUCACUUAUGUCUCUUGCAUUUACCACAAGCGCCACCUGGGAAGCCCUAAAACUCUUGUAGAACUUGUGCAAACAGAAAACAAAACACCAAGGAAGAGUGAGUGCAUGUGAAGGAACAGACACAAGGUCAGAAGGAACUUCAAGAACCAUCAGAGCAGCAGCCCAUGAAUUCACCUGAGAAGGGCCGAGUCUUCCUGCAAAUCAGCUGAGGAAUGAGAUGCCACUGGAUUUAGAUGAGGAGCUCCUUGGAGACAGAGACUCACUCCCUGCUUGUCCAGGACCAGUUUAUCAACACAAAAUUAAUUGUCUCUACACCUGUUCAUUUCAUGGGGAGACUGAAAAUAAGAAGAUAAUCUCUGUAGACUUCCAAAGACAAUUCCAGACUCCAUUCCCAAUUUUUUUCUCUCUAUGUGCAAAAACGAAGGCUUUGUGCACUCUGUUGCUAUGGAAACAGGAGAGAGAGAAACAGUUUAUGUAUUUCAAAAGCUGUCAGCCUAUAUGCUGUGGAUUUUGAUAACUAAACCUACAUGUGAGCCAUCUUUUCUCUACUCCCAACGCCCAACGCUAUACCGUUUAUUUUAUUUUAUACAUGUGUGUAUA